UACAGAGGGUGCUAGCGUUGUUCGGAAUUACUGGGCGUAAAGGGAGUGUAGGUGGUUUGAUAAGUUUCUUGUUAAAUCUGCGGGCUUACCCUGACAGCUGCAAGAAAAACUGUCUUACUUGAGUAUUGGAGAGGAUAGUGGAAUUCCCGGUGUAGAGGUGAAAUUCGUAGAUAUCGGGAGGAACACCAGUGGCGAAGGCGGCUAUCUGGCCAAUAACUGACACUGAGACUCGAAAGCAUGGGGAGCAAACAGG
rnacentral:rRNA from 1 species